GGCGCCCGGAACCUCUUCGGUUUCGCGGCCCGGAACCAGGCGCCCGCCGGAGGCCACAAACUCUUUUGUUUUUACAGUUUCUUCUGAGUGUGCCGCAAGGCAAAAUACAAAUGAAUCAAAACUUUCAACAACGGAUCUCUUGGUUCUGGCAUCGAUGAAGAACGCAGCGAAAUGCGAUAAGUAAUGUGAAUUGCAGAAUUCAGUGAAUCAUCGAAUCUUUGAACGCACAUUGCGCCCGCCAGAAUUCUGGCGGGCAUGCCUGUUCGAGCGUCAUUUCAACCCUCGAGCUCCCCUCUUUUGGGAGAGCCCGGCGUUGGGGACCCGGCGCUAACACCGCCUUGCCCCGAAAUGGAGUGGCGGCCCGUCCGCGGCGACCUCUGCGUAGUAAUAUCCACUCGCACCGGGACCCGGGCGCGGCCACGCCGUUAAACACCCCACCUUCCGAAUGUUGACCUCGAAUCAGGUAGGAAUACCCGCUGAACUUAAGCAU
rnacentral:rRNA from 1 species